rnacentral:misc_RNA from 1 species
AAUAAUACAACAACCUUUAUUAGAUCAUACUGUGAAAAAGUUAGCAAAAAAAAAGUGAUGGGUUAUUACUAUGUUCUUUUAAUCGUAACAUCACUUAGACUAGACAAAUUUGAUUAAUAUUUAGACAAGUAACAUUUUUUACUUAUACAGACAAGACUCUCAGGUUACGGUCAUUGUCAUUUUAUUAAUCGCGGUUAGUCCCAUUUACCAUUAAACCAAUCAAUCAAGUCCCAAUAAGUCAGUGAUCCCAAUUAAAGAAAAAAAAAAAAACAAUAAUUAUCGUACAUUUACGAUAAUUUCAUGCCUACGUACGAUAUACGAUCGUACCCUAGUAUCGUACGCAAUUUGCACGAUAAUUCUGUCUGUCCUACCGAAUAUAACAUAAAAUAGAAUGUAUUGUAUGAUUAUUUGAAGCAACGACCUUUUUUUGGCCAACUGAAAUUUGAAAACAGUUGUUUAGUAAAUUUACUUAAAAACUUGAAUUAAAAAAAAUUUGAUUUACGAUAAUUGUUCCGAAAACGAAAAUUUCACGGCACGUGUCAAUCAGACGGGUAAAAGUUUCUUGGAAUACCUGUAUAAUUUUAUAUACUUUUUGUCUGGGAUCACUGCAUUGAGUGUUGAUAGUGACCGGCGACUGCGAAAGUUUAAAACCUUACAUUUAGACAAUUAUCUCUUAUUAACUAUAAUAUUAGUGACAUUCUGUAAAAUCAAGCAGUCUUGUUAUGGUUAUUUAAGCAAUAUCGGUUACAAAGUUCAAUCUAAUCCAAUUUAUACAUAAAUAUUAUAUGUUAGAAAUAAAAUUAUUAUUGAUGUUGACUACUUCCCUCACUGAGUCCUAGUUUAAAGUUUUGGCAAUCUGUUUAUAUUUAUAGCUACUUUUAUGAAUUGUUUUUAACGCUCAGUUCAAAUUCACUAGUUAAAGUAAGCCUAUCAGAGAGAUGUUCAAUUUACUUACUAAGUACGAUUUAAUUGGGCUAGGAGCGUAGCUAAAUGGGCUAAACUAAGUGGCAGCGACGAAUUACUAUUUUCUUCAUGUAAAUAUACUAUAAAUUACCUAUUGUAAGUAUUAUAGUUCGCGUCAUGUAAAAAUAACGCUGGCCUUGAAACUGCGCAGAAGCGAUUUAUCGGUCUAUUUGGUGGUAUGGGGUAGGGGACGGGAGUGUUUAUCACGUAUCGCAUGCUUGCCGGUGUGCUAUUGGUUAGACAGUUCGACGUCGACUCAAAAUAUUAUCGCGCACAAAAGUUUUAAAUUACGAAAUAGUUUUACAUAGAGAAGUGAGAAAAAUUAUUUAUAAUAUAUAAUUCGCGUCAUGUAAAAAGAACGCUGGUUGUCAAAAUGCGCAAAGGCGAUUUACAGUGUUGCCAACUCUUGAAAAAACUUUUUCGUACUGUCCAUUUUUUGGAACAGUCUUAUUUGUUAAACAAUCCACUGUCAAUCGUAAUUCACGUUUUUUCCGCAUUUAUCACUCACUUUCACAACACAUUAGCAUACGGACACUUGUAAAACUCCAUUUACUAUUUAUUUCACAAAAAAAAAUAUAUCAAUUUAUCAUUUUAAACAGAUAAAAACUAUUUAGAUACUAACAUCGAGAGUUCAGAUAAUUAAUAUUUUUGAAUAAGACAUUUCAAUAACUAAAAAAUUUGUUAUUGCUUUUGUUUAAAUUUUUUUUUUUUUUUUGUAAUUUUGUAAAGUGAUAAUUAUUAUACUUAUUUAGUCCGAAUUAUUCGCACUGGUAUUU